rnacentral:rRNA from 1 species
AUUGAACGCUGGCGGCAUGCUUUACACAUGCAAGUCGAACGGUAACAGGCCGCAAGGUGCUGACGAGUGGCGAACGGGUGAGUAAUGCAUCGGAACGUGCCCAGUCGUGGGGGAUAACGCAGCGAAAGCUGCGCUAAUACCGCAUACGAUCUGUGGAUGAAAGCGGGGGACCGUAAGGCCUCGCGCGAUUGGAGCGGCCGAUGUCAGAUUAGGUAGUUGGUGAGGUAAAGGCUCACCAAGCCGACGAUCUGUAGCUGGUCUGAGAGGACGACCAGCCACACUGGGACUGAGACACGGCCCAGACUCCUACGGGAGGCAGCAGUGGGGAAUUUUGGACAAUGGGCGCAAGCCUGAUCCAGCCAUGCCGCGUGAGUGAAGAAGGCC